GGGACAUGGAGGUAGUAAUAAGGAACUACAAACCUAAUAGAAGUGGUAAAAAGGCCUUAGAGAUGAGAGACAGGGAAAGGUUAGUGCUAGCUUUGUUCGAAAUGGAGGGAGAGAGGUGGCGCGCAUUACAACGAGUGGCCAGAAAAAUUAUCACAAAGGAAGAAGAGGCUCAACCUUUGCCUCUGAAGCUUGAGCCACCGCCGUACAAACCAACUAACAUGCAUCCACUGAUAACAGACAACGUGGAAUUUAAAGGGGAAGUCACACUAGAUGAAGGAGAUAAUAAAUGUAACACACAAGGGAGGGUCAGUGGGGACCCAGGCACAGAGGUGUCAGGCAGCAGUACAUCAAUACAAAGCCCCCUAGUACUCCAGUCACGGGGGAAACUAAGGAGAGCACGAAGGGGAAGAAAGGCACCCGACACCCUCCCAGAGAAAACAUAGAACCACCACUGGGAUUGGUGAUUCUGUGGCUCUUGGAGACUCUGCAUCGCGUCGGAACACCAUGUGGUAUAGAUCAUUACAUCUUGGUACACAGAGCACUGGUGAGACAACGGGUUGGAUCAGAGGGAGAAGGUGUUUGGAGAAGGGAGAGGAAUGCAAAGAAAGCAAAAAGGGCGGACGCGGACCGACGCAGAGAUGGGUAGAAGCAGUCCCAUCAGAAGACCAAAGUGCGGCUACGUUAAUCAAGUUUCUGACUAGAGAAGUCAUGUCAAGGUUUGGAAUUCCGUCACAACUUAGCUCAGGUGAUAGGGCAGCGUUUAUUCAGAAAACACUCAAACAAGUGAUUUAACAUCUGCAUGUCAAAUAAAGACUAGUCCGUGUCUACAUUCCUUAAACCACAAGGUAUGGUGGAGAGAGGAAUGGGACGCUUAAGACAAAGAUUAACACAAUUAAAUUAGAGUACUAAAUUAAAAGGAC
ensembl:lncRNA